rnacentral:rRNA from 1 species
GAUGAACGCUGGCGGCGUGCCUAAUACAUGCAAGUCGAGCGAACGGACGAGAAGCUUGCUUCUCUGAUGUUAGCGGCGGACGGGUGAGUAACACGUGGAUAACCUACCUAUAAGACUGGGAUAACUUCGGGAAACCGUAGCUAAUACCGGAUAAUAUUUUGAACCGCAUGGUUCAAAAGUGAAAGACGGUCUUGCUGUCACUUAUAGAUGGAUCCGCGCUGCAUUAGCUAGUUGGUAAGGUAACGGCUUACCAAGGCAACGAUGCAUAGCCGACCUGAGAGGAAGGACGGCAACACUGGAACUGAGAGGCGGGCGAGAGGCCGACGGGGGGAACAAGGAGGGAAGCGACGGCAACGGGGAAAAGCCUGAAGGAUCAAUGGGGGGGAAAUAAUGAAGGAAUAAGGACCGUAAAACGAGGUAAGUAGAGAAGAACAGAGGUAAAAGUAAGAGUGCACAACGUGACGGUAAGGAAGCAGAAAGCCACGGGUAACGACGUG